GCCUCCUUGGCUCAGUGGUAGAGCGUGUCACUAGUAAUGACAAGGUCAUAGGUUCGACUCCUGUAGGAGGCA
rfam:Purpureocillium lilacinum isolate PLFJ-1 scaffold00002, whole genome shotgun sequence.